rnacentral:rRNA from 1 species
GGACUACCUGUGCAUUGUGAUGCGCUCUCAAAGAGUCGAGUUGUUUGGGAAUGCAGCUCAAAAUGGGUGGUAAAUUCCAUCUAAAGCUAAAUACAGGCGAGAGACCGAUAGCGAACAAGUACCGUGAGGGAAAGAUGAAAAGAACUUUGGAAAGAGAGUUAAACAGUACGUGAAAUUGUUGAAAGGGAAACGCUUGAAGUCAGUCGCGUUGUUCAGGGAUCAGCCUUGCUCUGCUUGGUGUACUUCCUGUUCAAUGGGUCAGCAUCAGCUUUGACCACUGGAAAAAGUUCAUGGGAAUGUGACAUCUUAGGAUGUGUUAUAGCCCAAGUCCGUAUACAGUGGUUGGGACUGAGGACUCAGCACUAGAUGCUUGGGAUGCUGGCAUAAUGGCUUUAAGCGACCCGUCUUGAAACACGGACCAAGGAGUCUAACAUGCCUGCGAGUGUUUGGGUGAAAAACCCAAGCGCGCAAUGAAAGUGAAAAGUUGGGAUCUCUGUCGUGGAGAGCACUGACGCCCGGACCAGAUGUUUUCGGACGGUUCUGCGGUAGAGCAUG